GGAGAAGUACUCAAGCUGGUCGAAGAGGCGCCCCUGCUAAGGGCGUAGGUCGUUUACGCGGCGCGAGAGUUCGAAUCUCUCCUUCUCCGCCA
rnacentral:tRNA from 1 species